GUUUUGUAUUCCAGCCUGGGCCCUGGAGCACACGUUCUGCGACAGGAGGUGAAUGCUGAUGUUCCUGAAGGCGCCCAGAGCCAGGCCCAUCGCUCCGGUCCAAUCCAGGAUGCUGAAGUCCCGGUUACCCCCCCACCCAUUUACCUACCCCCACGACAACCUCAGCCACCGUAACCUGGAGGCCUGGGAUGAGAUAUAAUUUGGUACAGCACACACACCAACUGCAGAUGCUUCCUCA